AACGCACAUUGCGCCCGCCAGUAUUCUGGCGGGCAUGCCUGUUCGAGCGUCAUUUCAACCAUCAAGCGCCUGCGCUUGUGUUGGAGCCCUGCGGCUGCCGCAGGCUCCCAAACCCAGUGGCGGGCUCGUCGUCGUACCGAGUGCAGUAAAUUUACCACGCUCAGGGCGCGCGACGGGUAACCGGCCGUAAAACCCCCCAACUUAUCAAGGUUGACCUCGGAUCAGGUAGGAAUACCCGCUGAACUUAA
rnacentral:misc_RNA from 1 species